UACGUAGGGGGCGAGCGUUGUCCGGAAUUAUUGGGCGUAAAGAGCGUGUAGGCGGUCCGGUAAGUCCGCUGUGAAAGUCAAGGGCUCAACCCUUGAAUGCCGGUUGAUACUGUCGGGCUAGAGUCCGGAAGAGGCGAGUGGAAUUCCCGGUGUAGCGGUGAAAUGCGCAGAUAUCGGGAGGAACACCAAUGGCGAAGGCAGCUCGCUGGGACGGUACUGACGCUGAGACGCGAAAGCGUGGGGAGCAAACAGG
rnacentral:rRNA from 1 species